AACGAACGCUGGCGGCGUGCUUAACACAUGCAAGUCGAACGCGAAAGGGGCUUCGGUCCUGAGUAGAGUGGCGCACGGGUGAGUAACGCGUAAGUGAUCUACCCCUGUAUCUGGAAUAACUAUGGGAAACUGUAGCUAAUACCGGAUACGUUCAUGUAGUUGCGAUUAUGUGAAGAAAGAUGGCCUCUGGCUCAAGCUAUCGUACAGGGAGGAGCUUGCGUACCAUUAGCUAGUUGGUAGGGUAAGGGCCUACCAAGGCAACGAUGGUUAGCGGGUCUGAGAGGAUGAUCCGCCACACUGGAACUGAAACACGGACCAGACUCCUACGGGUGGCAG
rnacentral:rRNA from 1 species